UACGAAGGACCCAAGCGUUAUCCGGAUUCAUUGGGUUUAAAGGGUGCGUAGGUGGAAUGAUAAGUCAGUGGUGAAAGCCUGCAGCUUAACUGCAGAAUUGCCAUUGAUACUGUUGUUCUUGAGUACAUUUGAUGUGGGCGGAAUAUGACAUGUAGCGGUGAAAUGCUUAGAUAUGUCAUAGAACACCGAUUGCGAAGGCAGCUCACAAAACUGUUACUGACACUGAGGCACGAAAGCGUGGGGAUCAAACAGG
rnacentral:rRNA from 1 species